rnacentral:rRNA from 1 species
UUGGAGGGCAAGUCUGGUGCCAGCAGCCGCGGUAAUUCCAGCUCCAAUAGCGUAUAUUAAAGUUGCUGCAGUUAAAAAGCUCGUAGUUGAAUUUCGGGACCAUCAUGUCGGUCGUGCCUCGGUACGUACUGGUAUUGUUGGUUUCUCCCUUCUGACGAACCAUAAUGUCAUUUAUUUGGUGUUGUGGGGAAUCAGGACUGUUACUUUGAAAAAAUUAGAGUGUUUAAAGCAGGCUCACGCUUGAAUACAUUAGCAUGGAAUAAUGAAAUAGGACGUUUGAUUCUAUUUUGUUGGUUUCUAGGAUCGACGUAAUGAUUAAUAGGGAUAGUUGGGGGCAUUAGUAUUCAAUUGUCAGAGGUGAAAUUCUUGGAUUUAUUGAAGACUAACUACUGCGAAAGCAUUUGCCAUGGAUGUUUUCAUUAAUCAAGAACGAAAGUUAGGGGAUCGAAGACGAUCAGAUACCGUCGUAGUCUUAACCAUAAACUAUGCCGACUAGGGAUCGGAUGAUGUUAAUUUUUUAAUGACUCAUUCGGCGCCUUACGGGAAACCAAAGUGUUUGGGUUC